rnacentral:tRNA from 1 species
GUUUUUGGGGCAAACGGUUAAUGCGCUCGGCUGCUAACAGAAAGGUUGGAGGUUCGAGUCCACCCAGAGGCA